rnacentral:piRNA from 1 species
UAGGCCACUUAGGGAACUGAAGGAAA